AUCCAUGUCAUAUGGACGCAGCCGUGCUAGCCCUCCUCGGGGAUAUGGUUGAGAUGCGGCUCACAUCGGGCUGAUUGCUGAUUUCCAGAUAAACCUAGCUCCGGCCAAUGAAAGCUCGUCUCGGGAUGUCUCCACAACCUUAAUUCCACAGCAACACAUGCCUGUCCACAUGUCGCAUCGCAAAACAUCCAACUAUACAUUUAUCCCUCUUCUUCUUUUGCGCCCACAUCUCUUGUGCGAUUGCGAAAUUGAAGGAAUCACCCAAGGUGUCCACCAACGUGCGUACCCUCCCAAUCAAGAGCUUUCCCGAAUCGCCAACAGAUCAUAAACAAUGUCAAGCCCAACUCGCAGACCCUCACAACUCCGCUCGAAUCAUGACAACACAGACAAUAAUAAACGCUCAUCAAUACAAGAAGCAACGACCACAGGAGAUGAGAGCUCAAAUCAAUUGGCUCAAGCAGUCGAUGAGCUGCUAGACCAGCUUCAGAAUAAAUUCGACAAAGUAUCAACAGAGAUCUUUGGGAAAUUGGAUGAUAUGGCGCGAAGACUGGAUCAACUCGAAGCUGCCCUCGCUAGUUCCCCUGAAACUAAUGUGACGAGCUGAUUAGCCUCUCAUUCAUCAAAAUGGAGUUCUUGUCCCUUUCCUUCCCGUUCCCAUAAAACAUGGAGAUUUGGUUUGCGUUAUUUUCUCCUUUACCUCGGAUUUACAGAACGGUAUAGGAUACAUGAUAUGCUUGGGAAUUCGCAAUCUUUCCUCGUUCGCACGUUCAUACCCAUACCAGUGAAUCUGGAUAGUCAGCACAACAGAACCUCGUUUCAAAACCAGCUCGCCUUCAGAAUAUGGGAGAAAAUAAUGUUGUUAUAAUAAUAUAUUGUUAUCCGGAUUUUAUUUUACUGUUUUGUGUUUGCUGAUCACAAGGGGUUUUUUUCAUUUUCAUUUUAUGAAGCUGAACAGAUGCGCAAGUUCCGUAAUAUUUGCAAUCUUGUACUUCUAAUAUGAUGUUGCGAUUUCUUUUUAAUUCCUUGUUCGUUGGUUUCUUUGGUGUUUCUGCUUUGCUCUGGAAGCAUUUCUAUUCCUCUAUUGUGUUUAAUACCCAGUUAAUUUCAUACAUUUUCUAUGAGAAAUUGAACGUGUUGAAUGGGGAAAGGAACAACACAAAACCAAAGCUAUCAAUCAUACAGAAAGCUAGAAAGCCAUGCAUUAAAUCAAAGCAUACUUGCCUUUCCAAAGACUUGUAGAUGAAGAUGCAUCACUUGUUUCAUCAUCUCCUGUUACUCCAACAGCCCAGGAUACCGCGCACACCCCUGCCAACCGAAAGUAUACCAAACCCUCCCUUAUUUAAGGAAAUGUAUUUAUAAACAGUUCAUUCACAGCUCAUCUUUCGCCUUUGGCUCCUCCUCUUUCUCCUUUGGCUCCUCCUUUUCCUUAGUAAACCUCCGCAGAAUAUUACUCCUCGACACCAAAUCAUCCAGCUUCUCCGGUGCCAGGCCGCCCUUGGUCACAAUCCUCUCUAACCUUGCCAACUCCUUCGCCACAUAUUCUUUAUUCUCAAUCAACUUCCCUAACACCUUGAAGUAGUACGGCGCAUAUCGUCCCUCCAAUUCCUUCGACGCGGCCUUAACUUCACGCAUGAGCCUGGAAAUGCUCUUCUCGCUACCAGUAACGUAUUUGGCAACGAUGUCAUCCAGGACUUCAAUUGUGCCAGCUUCCCGAUCCAGCCCGCCGCCAACAACACGAUGAGUUCCAGACUUCUCGUUCAGGUAUACAACGAAAUCUUCUUCGGAGCGGCCGCCAGCGUAGUCUACUGGAUCAUUGGAGCCACGGGGGAAGAAUUUAAUAGUUGGGUAUGAUCUGAUAUCGAACAAUUCAGCAGUUCUCCUGGAGUUUUCAGCAUCAGCGUCAACUUUGGCGAUUGUGACGUGGGGCUCGAGUUGAAAAUCGUUCGCGAGCUUCUCCCAGAUUGGAGCCAGCGCCUUGCAAUCUGUAGAAUGUCAUUAGCCAAAUAUAUAUCCAGAAAAAGAUGAUGGUAGGGUGAGAUUAGAAAUGCGAAGAAGAUGGGGAAGAAUGGGGAAGACGUACGCCCACACCACGGCGCCGUAAACGCGACUAAAACGUCGUUCUCCCCUCCAAUGGCUUUGGCAAAUGUCGCAUCCGUCAACAUCUGGACAUUGCUGGCCACCUUCAGCGCACCCUUUGGCCUAACUCCCGUCUUCUCCGUCACGAACUUGGACAGACUCUCUAAGUCCCGCGCGCCAUUAUACUCCUCGGGCUUGUCACUCUUCCCAUCAAACCACUUCAGUGUUGGGAAGCCCUGGACGCCAAACUUCUUGCCUAGUUCCCUAUGCUCAUCCGCAUCGACUUUGCUAAUAUGUAGCUUGUCGCUAGCGAAGGAGAAGUCUGCCGCCAGCUCCUCGUAGAUUGGGGCCAGGUUUUUGCAGUGCCCGCACCAAGGGGCGAAGAAUUCGACUAGACCCGGUUUGCCUGAUUUGAGGGCAACUUUUUCGAAAUUAUCUGGAGUUAGGUCGAGGACGGAGGAUAGGGCGCUGGUGGAGGCUACGUUAUUCAGCAGGAGGGAGGUCGAGGCCAGAAGGAGGUAGCUUAGGCGUGCCAUUUUGGAGGUUGUGGUCUGUGGCAGUG
rnacentral:sRNA from 2 species